rnacentral:lncRNA from 1 species
AUCCCAUUAGCUUUUACUUCCACACAGGACUGGUUUGAUCCAUUUGUAGAAAUCUGCCGACCAACUUUGGAGAGGCCCAGCUGCUUCACAUAUACUCAAUUUCCAGUAACACUUAAUAGAUGAAGAAACUGCUGGCCAAGAAGUUAUCAUCUGCCCCCAUCACGCUGCUAGUAAGGAUUUGAAC